rnacentral:rRNA from 1 species
AACGCGAAGAACCUUACCAGGGCUUGACAUAUAUUUGAAUAUGUUAGAGAUAGCAUAGUCCUUCGGGACAGAUAUACAGGUGGUGCAUGGUUGUCGUCAGCUCGUGUCGUGAGAUGUUGGGUUAAGUCCCGCAACGAGCGCAACCCCUGUGAUUAGUUGCCAGCACGUAAUGGUGGGAACUCUAAUCAGACUGCCGGUGAUAAAUCGGAGGAAGGUGGGGACGACGUCAAAUCAUCAUGCCCUUUAUGUCCUGGGCUACACACGUACUACAAUGGCUAUUACAGAGGGAUGCGAAACAGCGAUGUCAAGCGAAACCCAAAAAAUAGUCUCAGUUCGGAUUGAAGGCUGAAAUUCGCCUUCAUGAAGCUGGAAUUGCUAGUAAUGGCAGGUCAGCAUACUGCCGUGAAUACGUUCCCGGGCCUUGUACACACCGUACGUC